ACAGUGGACGCGAGCAUCUUUGUUGUAAGUGUUUAAGAGCGUACGGUGGAUGCCUUGGCACCAGGAGCCGAUGAAGGACGUGGGAGGCUGCGUUAAGCCUCGGGGAG
rnacentral:rRNA from 1 species